CAUGAUUUGUGGAGGAGGAACUAAUGUCAGUUGUGAAAUGUUCAUUUGGUUUUGAAGUUAGAGAACUGACAAUUCUAGCAUGACAUUGAACUGAUAAAGUUUUCAUUUAAAGUUUGUUAUACAUGCUUAUUUACUGUAUUAUCAGUUGACAAAGAGAAAAUUCUUCAAAAUAAAAUGCCUAAUUUAUUCUU